rnacentral:rRNA from 1 species
AUGCUCCGGAUGGUGCUCAGCGCCAGUCUCACGGUGGGUGUGCCGGCCGGAUCAUGGGACCUACAGACCAACUACACCAUGUGGGCUUUGAGAACUAGGUUUACCAUCGGCUAUGAGUUCCAGUUUCAGUACUCCACCACCGUGCACAAUGUGGUGGAGGUGAGAAAGGCUGGGUACGACGCCUACAACAGCUCCAGCCCCAUCGCGAUGUUCCUAACCAGCAACGAUGUCGUCCCACUUGCAGCCAUUGGGAUGCGGUACUUCAUUUGCGGCGUCCUAGGGCAUCGCGUCGCCGGUAUGAAGGUUCAAGUCAACGUGAAGUCGAAGGCAGUGUGGACAGUACGACGGUGCCGAGGGAUGGGGAAGCGGCUCCGGUGCCGGUCCGAGACUAUCUUAAGCUCGGCCAUGACGGCUGGUAUUGAUCAGUCUGCGAUGGCGCGACUAGGUCUGGCCUUUGUCGCGGCUGGUCUCGUGUUGUUCUAUUAG